rnacentral:rRNA from 1 species
GAUGAACGCUGGCGGCGUGCUUAACACAUGCAAGUCGAACGAAGCAAUUAUAAUGAAGUUUUCGGAUGGAUUUAUAAUUGACUUAGUGGCGGACGGGUGAGUAACGCGUGGGUAACCUGCCUCAUACAGGGGGAUAACAGUUGGAAACGACUGCUAAGACCGCAUAAGCCUACAGUCUCGCAUGAGACAGUAGGAAAAUAUUUAUAGGUAUGAGAUGGACCCGCGUCUGAUUAGCUAGUUGGUGAGGUAACGGCCCACCAAGGCGACGAUCAGUAGCCGACUUGAGAGAGUGAUCGGCCACAUUGGGACUGAGACACGGCCCAAACUCCUACGGGAGGCAGCAGUGGGGAAUAUUGCACAAUGGGGGAAACCCUGAUGCAGCGACGCCGCGUGAGUGAAGAAGUAUUUCGGUAUGUAAAGCUCUAUCAGCAAGGAAGAUAAUGACGGUACUUGACUAAGAAGCCCCGGCUAACUACGUG